rnacentral:rRNA from 1 species
UGCAGUCGAGGGGUAACAGAGGUAGCUUGCUACUUGCUGACGACCGGCGCACGGGUGCGUAACGCGUAUAGAACCUACCUUCUACAGGGGAAUAGCCCAGAGAAAUUUGGAUUAAUGCCCCAUGGUAUUGAGAAGUGGCAUCACUAUUCAAUUAAACAUUUAUGGGUAAAAGAUGGCUAUGCGUUCUAUUAGUUAGUUGGUAAGGUAACGGCUUACCAAGACAUCGAUAGAUAGGGGUCCUGAGAGGGAGAUCCCCCACACUGGUACUGAGACACGGACCAGGCUCCUACGGGAGGCAGCAGUGAGGAAUAUUGGACAAUGGAGGCAACUCUGAUCCAGCCAUGCCGCGUGAAGGAUGACUGCCCUAUGGGUUGUAAACUUCUUUUAUAUAGGAAGAAACAGUUUCUUGCGAGAGACCUUGACGGUACUAUAUGAAUAAGCACCGGCUAACUCCGUGCCAGCAGCCGCGGUAAUACGGAGGGUGCAAGCGUUAUCCGGAAUCAUUGGGUUUAAAGGGUCCGUAGGCGGACUGAUAAGUCAGAGGUGAAAUCCCACAGCUCAACUGUGGAACUGCCUUUGAUACUGUCAGUCUUGAGUUACUUGGAAGUAGAUAGAAUGUGUAGUGUAGCGGUGAAAUGCAUAGAUAUUACACAGAAUACCGAUUGCGAAGGCAGUCUACUACGAGUAUACUGACGCUGAUGGACGAAAGCGUGGGGAGCGAACAGGAUUAGAUACCCUGGUAGUCCACGCCGUAAACGAUGGACACUAGUUGUUGGGAUUUAAU